GGAAGUAUUAACCAAUUUGAAAGAAUAGUUUCAAUAGAAUGUGUUGUUAUUCUCUUUGAAUAAUGUUUAGACAUUUGCAUUAAGAAUAAUUGGUAAAAGUAAUAAUUUAUCAUGUAGUUAAUGAACUGAACUAAACUGUUGUUCUGAUCUGUUCUUUCGAGGUUAUCAUGAAAAGUGACAUCAGACGGUAUCUUAAUGCAUGGAAGAGAUAAUUGGACCGAAAAGUGUGUGUACCUCAAACCCCCUCUAAUUGGCUGAAGAAGGAGUGACGAAGGCGUUGAAUAUGGCCCUGCCCGAACCAUUUCUACUGAGAGGAAUGGCCGAGCCAGCAACCGGUGUACAGUAUCCGAUCUAAGCUAUCAACUGCCUUUCUCUCAUGUUUCUCUCAGGAGUGUGAGAGGAGUCCACAUGGAGUGAGCAUGGAGAAAGGUGCUGUUCUAAACUAUUCUUAUGUUGCUGAUAUAUUGGUUGACGAAUGGACAAGACAUAAUGGGUAUCUAAGGUGAAACAUUUACAUUGGGACAUUAUAAUGGGUCAUUCACUUUGAACUUUAAAGUUAUCUGAAGAAGAACGAAGAGGACGCCAGAAGAAUCAGUGCCUGGAGAGAGGGGUUUGGUCAACUGUGCCCAUAACUGUUUAGACUUUUGGGGUAUCAGGUUGAUUGUAGAGGUCUACACCACGUAAAAUUAUAGUCAUUUAGAUUAAGAAUGCAUUGAGAUACUGAUCUGUAGAAUAAUCGUGAUAAAAUUGUUAAUAGUAGAAAUUAUGGGAUAAUUAUACUGGAUGUUUCUAUUUAGUCUAGCACGCACAAGUCGGAGAGUCGUCUAUAUAAGCAACAAAGUAAAUCACUAAAGAAUACAUUUAUGAAGUUAGACAUUAGUAUUUAGGCCUGUUCAACAUUAAUUCUUCAAUAGCAAACUAUGCAGUAUUUUUUUUUUAUUUUUUUUUAGGUAUUAUUCUUACAUUGUUACCCCAGGAAAUCUUAAGUCUUAUACAUACAGCCGGGAAGAACUAUUGGAUAUAAGAGCGACGUCAACUUACCAACAUUGCGACCAGGAAUACGAUUUUCCCGAAGCGGAUCCUCUGUUUGGACCACCACUCAGGACAAUGGAUCUAAUCCCAGAAGCUGACCCAAGACAACGGCGCUGCAGAAGGGGCAGACGGAGCGGCCUCCUGGUCAGGCUCCGUAGAUGUGCACAUCGCCCACCGCUCCCGAGUAUACUACUCACCAAUGUCCAGUCUCAUGACAACAAGGAUGCCGGUGGGCGGAGUUGGAAGGGUCGUCAGCUAAAUGGGAAACACCUGGGCCCAGCUGUGUCCCAGGAUAAAGAGACCUCUUCCACAGUUAUUGAGAGGACUCUCUCCAUGCAGACACUUUGUUGAUUUUGGUUGUGUAGUUUUGUGGCUUUUUGGUUAUUUCCUUUGGCACCUUUCAACACCCUGCAUUAUUACAUUCAGGUAUGCAAAACACUCACUUACACUACUGAUUACUGAUUACACACACGCC
rnacentral:lncRNA from 1 species